AUUGAACGCUGGCGGAAUGCUUUACACAUGCAAGUCGAACGGCAGCACGGGGGCAACCCUGGUGGCGAGUGGCGAACGGGUGAGUAAUACAUCAGAACGUGCCCGGUCGUGGGGGAUAACGUAGCGAAAGUUACGCUAAUACCGCAUACGAUCUGAGGAUGAAAGCGGGGGACCUUCGGGCCUCGCGCGAUCGGAGCGGCCGAUGUCAGAUUAGGUAGUUGGUGGGGUAAAGGCCUACCAAGCCGACGAUCUGUAGCUGGUCUGAGAGGACGACCAGCCACACUGGGACUGAGACACGGCCCAGACUCCUACGGGAGGCAGCAGUGGGGAAUUUUGGACAAAGGGCGCAAGCCUGAUCCAGCCAUUCCGCGUGCAGGACGAAGGCCUUCGGGUUGUAAACUGCUUUUGUAUGGAACGAAAAGGCUCUGGCUAAUACCUGGGGCUCAUGACGGUACCGUAAGAAUAAGCACCGGCUAACUACGUG
rnacentral:rRNA from 1 species